rnacentral:rRNA from 1 species
UACGUAGGUGGCAAGCGUUGUCCGGAUUUACUGGGCGUAAAGAGCGCGCAGGCGGUCGUUCAAGUCGCGUGUGAAAGCCCCCGGCUCAACUGGGGAGGGUCACGCGAUACUGAUCGACUGGAAGGCAGGAGAGGGUAGUGGAAUUCCCGGUGUAGUGGUGAAAUGCGUAGAUAUCGGGAGGAACACCGGUGGCGAAGGCGGGUCUCUGGGCAACUACUGACGCUGAGGAGCGAAAGCGUGGGGAGCGAACAGG